UGGAAACUCUCCUCAGCCAGGGGAUAAGAGAGGCCUGGGGGCAACCAGCCCAUCCUGGAGGCCUGAGAGAGCAGAUCUAGGGCACCUUCACCAUGGCCUGGACCCCUCUUCUCCUCACCCUCCUGGCUCACUGCACAGCCUCUGUGGCCUCCUUUGAGCUGACCCAGCCACACUCAGUGUCAGUGGCCCUGGGACAGACAGCCAGGCUCACCUGCUCUGGAGGAAAAUUGGAGAACAAUUAUGCUCACUGGUACCAGCAGAAGCCAGAUCAGGCCCCGAAGCUGGUCAUCUAUGAGGAUAGCAAACGGCCCUCGGGGAUCCCUGACCGAUUCUCUGCCUCCAGCUCUGGGAACACAGCCACCUUGACCAUCAGUGGGGUCCAGGCUGAGGAUGAGGCUGACUAUUACUGUCUGUCAUCAGAAAGUGAGAGCAGUGCUUCUCACAGUUCCCUCUCCCAGCCUGUGCUGACCCAGCUGUCCUCCCUCUUCAUUCCCAGGAUCCUCUGUGAGACUCCCCUGCACCCUCAGCAGUGGCUUCAAUGUGGGUGA